GGGUUUGAUUAUGGCUCAGAUUGAACGCUGGCGGAAUGCUUUACACAUGCAAGUCGAACGGUAGAGGGGGCAACCCCUUGAGAGUGGCGAACGGGUGAGUAAUAUAUCGGAACGUGCCCAGUCGUGGGGGAUAACGUAGCGAAAGUUACGCUAAUACCGCAUACGAUCUAAGGAUGAAAGCGGGGGAUCGCAAGACCUCGCGCGAUUGGAGCGGCCGAUAUCAGAUUAGGUAGUUGGUGGGGUAAAGGCUCACCAAGCCAACGAUCUGUAGCUGGUCUGAGAGGACGACCAGCCACACUGGAACUGAGACACGGUCCAGACUCCUACGGGAGGCAGCAGUGGGGAAUUUUGGACAAUGGACGAAAGUCUGAUCCAGCCAUUCCGCGUGCAGGAUGAAGGCCCUCGGGUUGUAAACUGCUUUUGUACGGAACGAAAAGGUUUCUAUUAAUACUAGGAGCUCAUGACGGUACCGUAAGAAUAAGCACCGGCUAACUACGUGCCAGCAGCCGCGGUAAUACGUAGGGUGCAAGCGUUAAUCGGAAUUACUGGGCGUAAAGCGUGCGCAGGCGGUUAUAUAAGACAGAUGUGAAAUCCCCGGGCUC
rnacentral:rRNA from 1 species